GACGAACGCUGGCGGCGUGCCUAAUACAUGCAAGUAGAACGCACAGUUUAUACCGUAGCUUGCUACACCAUAAACUGUGAGUUGCGAACGGGUGAGUAACGCGUAGGUAACCUGCCUGGUAGCGGGGGAUAACUAUUGGAAACGAUAGCUAAUACCGCCUAAUAUUUAUUAUUGCAUGAUAAUUGAUUGAAAGAUGCUAUUGCAUCACUACCAGAUGGACCUGCGUUGUAUUAGCUAGUAGGUGAGGUAACGGCUCACCUAGGCGACGAUACAUAGCCGACCUGAGAGGGUGAUCGGCCGCACUGGGAAUGGGACACGGCCCAGACGCCUACGGGAGGCAGCAGUAGGGAAUCGUCGGGAAUGGACGGAAGUCUGACCGAGCAACGCCGCGGGAGUGAAGAAGGUUUUCGGAUCGGAAAGCUCUGUUGUAAGAGAAGAACGGGUGUGAGAGUGGAAAGUUCACACUGUGACGGUAUCUGACCAGAAAGGGACGGCUAACUACGUG
rnacentral:rRNA from 1 species